UUUCAUACAUGUAACUUGAAAACUUUUUCUCUGAUGAAAUAUCAUAUUUUACUGCUGUGCCAAAAAUGACUAAUCAUUAUACUUUACAAAAAAAAAUAAGAAAUAAAAUAAAUAAUAAAAUAAUUAGAGGUGUCUGCGAGGUGCCUGCGCGGUGCCUUCGAGGUGUCUGCGAGGUGCCGGCGCGGUGUCUGCGCGGUGCCUGCGCGGUUUCUGCGUGGUGUCUGCGUGGUGCCUGCGAGGUGUCUGCGCGGUGCCUGCGAGGUGUCUGCGUGGUGCCGGUCCUUCCUUCCAGCUUCUGUCCCACUGAAACAUCUACGAAGUCUCUUCACUCUCUCUCUACCUCUUUUGGUAAAUCAAAACUGAGGAUACACUCCAGUGCAACA
ensembl:lncRNA